UGCGGGGGCACUCUCCUGGUUUCCGGCUUCACACUGCUGGUUUCUUCUCCCUGCCUCCCGCGUUUCCCGAGACCUCCUGCUCCAGUUCCACGAAUGCGUCCUGAGUAACUGAGGCUCCCGUGGCACCAGCCCCUGUGGAUCUGAGCCUGGAUGAAGGUCUCAUGCAGAUGGGCACCCAACAACUGCACCCUGGUCGUGUGGGAGCACCCGCUUAAAGGAAUCAGUAGAAGCUUUCCCAGGAGAGGCAGAGUUGAGCCCGUUUUGUAGAUGAGCAGGAAUGGGCUGGAAGAAGAAAAUAGGAUUUUUUCCCCUCCAUUUAAAGGCACUCCAGACAGAUGCAAUAACAUGUGCAAAGGCAUAGAGGUGUGAAUAGCAUGCUGAGCCUGGGAAGCUGCAAGAAGCACAGUGUGGUUGGCAAUGUCAAUGUAUCUUUUCAUCAUGAAACAAACAUUCCUGAGGAUGUGCUUGACCUAGGGGGCCCUGCGGUCCACUGCCCGGCGGCCCUUGUCUCCCACCUCCAACUGGAGCAUUCAUCCCUCCUUGGCCGCCAGCUUGCCGACAGAACUCCAUUCCUUCCCAUGCCUCAGGCUGAAGAGCCACUCCUCAUGUAAUGUCACUCCCCUUUCCUGACAAGCCGGCGUCCAGUCAUUGGUCCACAGGGUGGAAUAAAGGCCCAACCCCCUUGCUCCAACUUGGGGCAACUAUGAGAAGUCAUUGCAACUCCAGAGCUUCCCAAGGGGUGGCCUGAGGCCUUUGUGGGGUCUGCAUCACAGCCCCAGUGGUCCCACUGCCCAACAGAUACUGUUCUUGAGAUCAGCCCUCAAUAAACUUUUGCCAACAAA